CGGAUUGUAGGCUGCAACUCGCCUACAUGAAGUCGGGAAUUGCUAGUAAUCGCGGAUCAGCAUGCCGCGGUGAAUACGUUCCCGGGCCUUGUACACACCGCCCGUCACACCAUGGGAGUCGGUAACACCCGAAGCCUGUAGUCUAACCGCAAGGGGGACGCAGUCGAAGGUGGGAUUGAUGACUGGGGUGAAGUCGUAACAAGGUACC
rnacentral:rRNA from 1 species